ensembl:snoRNA Gm25878 predicted gene, 25878
GCAGGUGUGAAUGAUGACUGUACUUUUUUCCCCAUCCGAUCGACAAUGCUGAUCUCAGAACACUUGUUGCCAGUUAGUCCUGAUACACCAGC